UGGCGGACGGGUGAGUAAUGUCUGGGAAACUGCCCGAUGGAGGGGGAUAACUACUGGAAACGGUAGCUAAUACCGCAUAACGUCGCAAGACCAAAGAGGGGGACCUUCGGGCCUCGCGCCAUCAGAUGAACCCAUAUGGGAUUAGCUAGUAGGUGAGGUAACGGCUUACCUAGGCGACGAUCCCUAGCUGGUCUGAGAGGAUGACCAGCCACACUGGAACUGAGACACGGUCCAG
rnacentral:rRNA from 1 species